GUUUAAAAUCCUGUCAUUAUAAAUAGCAAAAAAUAACUGGUUAAAAUUAAAGAGUACACAUAAAUAGAAAUAGAGAGGCGACGAAAUGCAGAGAGGCGAUGAGGACACGGAGACAGAAGCAGAGAAAGACGAUGAAAUACAGAGAGGAUGAGGCUGCGACAUGGAGAAAGAAACAGAGAAAUAAAUCGUGUUUUGAAACUUUCUGAUUUCAUGCAGAGACGUUUGUCAUUCUAUUUUUUCCCCGAAAUAAGGAGGAAGGAAGAUGAAACAGCCUUCAGCAUAAGCACAAAAAACCCCUUUCCCAGGAACUCUCGAUAUCAGACCAUUCUUUCUCGCUUCAUCUUGAUGCCAAACUCAAGAUUUACUGUCAAAAUCAAAGUUUGAGAGGGAAUUUGUAGCUUGAAAGCAGAUGGAUUUAUUUCAUCUUUGAUUACUAUGUUUUUAGUUAUUUUAAUUUUUCGACUAAGUCAAUAUAGUGUAUUUAAUUGUAUUGUGGCUGUUUGGAUCAGUUAUAUAUCUGCUUGAAUGCAUCAAAAUUUUCCUUAUGUCUA